CGGCCGCGGUAUUUUGACCGUGCAAAGGUAGCGUAAUCACUUGUCUUUUAAAUGAAGACCUGUAUGAAUGGCAUCACGAGGGCUUAGCUGUCUCCUUUUUCUAAGUCAGUGAAAUUGAUCUCCCCGUGCAGAAGCGGGGAUAAAAACAUAAGACGAGAAGACCCUAUGGAGCUUUAGACACCAGAAUAGCACAUGUUAAGACACCCUGAAUAAAGAACUGAACUUAAUGGCCCCCCUAUUCCAAUGUCUUCGGUUGGGGCGACCAUGAGGAACAAAAACCCCUCAUGUGGAAUGGGAGUACCACAACCCACACACUAUUUUUCCUAUACUCCUACAACCAAGAGCUACAACUCAAACUGACAGAAAUUCUGACCAACAAUGAUCCGGCAAUGCUGAUCAACGGACCAAGUUACCCUAGGGAUAACAGCGCAAUCCCCUUUUAGAGCCCAUAUCGACAAGGGGGUUUACGACCUCGAUGUUGGAUCAGGACAUCC
rnacentral:rRNA from 1 species